rnacentral:rRNA from 1 species
AUUGAACGCUGGCGGCAUGCCUUACACAUGCAAGUCGAACGGCAGCACGGGGCAACCUGGUGGCGAGUGGCGAACGGGUGAGUAAUGCAUCGGAACGUACCUUUCAGUGGGGGAUAACGUAGCGAAAGUUACGCUAAUACCGCAUAUUCUGUGAGCAGGAAAGCAGGGGAUCGCAAGACCUUGCGCUGAUUGAGCGGCCGAUGUCAGAUUAGCUAGUUGGUGAGGUAAAGGCUCACCAAGGCGACGAUCUGUAGCGGGUCUGAGAGGAUGAUCCGCCAAACUGGAACUGGGACACGGUCCAGACUCCUACGGGAGGCAGCAGUGGGGAAUUUUGGACAAUGGGGGCAACCCUGAUGCAGCCAUGCCGCGUGAGUGAAGAAGGCCUUCGGGUUGUAAACUGCUUUUGUCAGGGAAGAAAUCUUCUGGGCUAAUACCCCGGGAGGAUGACGGUACCUGAAGAAUAAGCACCGGCUAACUACGUGCCAGCCGCCGCAGUAAUAC